AUCGCUUCUCGGCCUUUUGGCUAAGAUCAAGUGUAGUAUUUGUUCUCAUCGGUAGAAGAAAACACAGCGGAAAGCUUCCUGACGUUGGAUUUGAUGGCGACUGAUUUCUUGGAUAUGACCCAAAAGCACAGGGGACAAAAGGAAAAACAGAUAAAUUGGACGACAUAAAACUUCU
ensembl:snRNA U2 U2 spliceosomal RNA